AUUUUUUCCUUUAUCUAGCUUUCGAAUAAACAAGAAAAUUGAAUAAGUUUUGGAAUGAGAAGAUAUUUGGGUUUGAAAUUUUUACAGAAAAAAGAUUUUAGAGGAAAGUUUACGGUUCUUGUUAUUAUUUUUUAAUAGAAUUAAUUCAAUUUUUCUCAAAUUGUUUGGUAUCAUAUAUGAUCUUAGGCUAAUCCAGAGAAAGCCACCGAACAACUCUGUCUAAACCCUAAACCUCCUUAACCAUGUCGCCGGCUUCGCUUCGCCCCCGUUGUCUUCUCUCUUAUCCACUUCACUCACCUUCCCUAAGGGUUAUAUCAUUACUCGCAACAUUUCUAGAGCGCCUCGUUUCUGCCUCUGCUUCAUCACAUCAACCUUGUUGCACAACAGCAAUUUUAUCAAGAAAUCUUACUUUUGACUCUAGUUCAGGCUUCAACUUCAAUACCCAUUCUGUUGAAGGAAGUGAUCUUGGUGAGAAUAUUGAUGGUUCUGACAAAGACUCUGGAGAUUCAAGUUUCUUUGGUAGUCAUUAUGGGGACGUUGAAAAGAAUAAAAAAUCUAAACUUGAUAGAUUUGAUGAGGUUGAGGAUUCUGAUGAAGAAGUAGAAGAUGGUGAGUAUAAUAGUGAUUGUAAUGAUACCUUCACAGUUUUGGAAUCUUUUGAUAAAAAUUGUAUCAAUAGAGAAGAUGUAAGGAGAGUUGAAGCGGAGGAAGAUGAACUUAGACACCCUUUAGUGAGAGAAGUUUGUAGGUUGAUUGAACUGAGGUCAGCUUGGAGCCCAAAGCAUGAAGAGGAAUUGAGACACCUGUUACGAAGCCUCAAGUCUCAGCAUGUUUGUGCUGUUUUGCGUUCUCAGACUGAUGAACGUGUUGCUUUGAAGUUUUUCUACUGGGCUGAUAGGCAAUGGCGUUAUCGGCAUGAUACAAUAGUUUAUUAUGUAAUGCUUGAAGUCCUCAGUAAGACAAAGUUGUGUCAGGGUGCUAAGCGGGUUCUCCGGCUUAUGAUACGUAGGGGAAUUAACUGCUGGCCUGAAGCGUUUAGUUAUGUAAUGGUGUCUUACAGCCGGGCAGGCAAGUUGAGAAAUGCAAUGCAGAUACUGACUAUGAUGCAAAAGGCUGGCGUCAAACCUGACUUAUUGAUAUGUAACACUGCAAUUCAUGUUUUGGUGGUGGGAAACAAGUUGGAGAAGGCAUUGAGGUUUGUGAAAAGGAUGCAACUUGUUGGCAUUACACCUAAUGUUGUCACUUAUAACAGUUUGAUCAAGGGAUGUUGUAAUUUGCAAUGCAUUGAGGAUGCCCUGGAGCUGAUCGCUGAAAUGCCUCAUAAAGGAUGUUCUCCAGAUAGAGUUAGUUACUUUACUGUAAUGGGUUUUCUAUGCAAGGAGAAAAGAAUUAAAGAAGUGAGAAACUUAAUGGAGCAGAUGGUGACAGAUGGAAAUUUGUUACACGAUCAGGUUACUUAUGAAACUCUUAUCCAUAUGCUCUCAAAGCAUGGCCAUGGUGAUGAGGCUCUUAAAUUUCUGAAAGAGGCUGAAGAUAAGGGAUUUCAGGUUGAUAAAGUAGCAUAUAGUGCUAUUAUUCACUCUUUUUGUAAGGACGGAAGAAUACAGGAGGCAAAAGAACUGGUGAAUCAAAUGUUUCAAAAGGGUUGUAUUCCUGAUGUAGUUACUUACACUGCUGUUGUUAAUGGAUUUUGUCGGGUGGGAAAAUUGGACCUCGCCAGAAAGAUGCUUCAGCAAAUGUACAAGCAUGGCUGCAAACCAAACACUGUGUCAUAUACUGCCUUAUUAAAUGGGCUUUGUCGUAAUGGAAAAUCAUUAGAAGCUAGAGAGAUGAUUAACAUGAGUGAGGAAGAAUGGUGGACUCCUAAUGCCAUCACUUAUAGUGUUGUGAUGCAUGGGCUGCGGAGGGAAAGGAAACUAUCUGAGGCUUGUGAUGUGGUGAGAGAGAUGAUUAAAAGGGACUUUUUUCCAACACCAGUUGAAAUUAACUUAUUAAUUCAGUCUCUUUGUCAAGAGGGAAAAAUCAAUGAGGCUAAAAAGUUCAUGGAGGAAUGCCUAAACAAGGGAUGUGCUGUUAAUGUAGUGAACUUUACUACUGUGAUUCACGGAUUUUGUCAGAAUGAUGACUUGGAUGCUGCUCUUUCAUUGCUGGAUGACAUGUAUUUGAGCAACAAACAUCCUGAUGCAGUCACUUAUACGACGAUUAUUGAUGCUUUGGGGAGAAAAGGUAGAAUAGAAGAGGCAAGUGAACUUAGUAACCAAAUGCUUCGAAAAGGUUUGGUUCCAACAGCUGUUACAUACAGGACAAUUAUCCAUUGGUAUUGUCAGAUGGGUAGAGUGGAAGAUUUGUUACAAUUGCUAGAGAAGAUGCUUUCAAGACAAAAGUGUAGAACAGCUUAUAAUCAAGUUAUCGAGAAGCUAUGUAAUUUUGGAAAUUUGGAAGAGGCUGAUAAACUCUUGAGUAAGGUCUUAAGAACUGCUUCAAAAGUUGAUGCUAGGACAUGCCAUGUGCUUAUGGAAAGUUACAUGAGCAAAGGGAUUCCUUUGUCUGCAUAUAAAGUAGCUUGUCGUAUGUUUAAUCGGAAUCUGAUCCCUGAUUUAAAGUUGUGUGAGAAGGUGAGCAAGAAACUAGUCUUUGAAGGAAAAUCAGAAGAGGCAAAUAACCUUAUGCUAAGAUUUGUUGAGCGUGGAAAAAUUCAACCUUAUAAUCAAGAACAUUUGCAAAGCUAGAGCCUGAUGUGUUCUUAUAAACUUAAUAUUCUGGAUGGAUAUGAUUUCAUUUCCCUUUUGCUUUUCUCUGGUGCUAUCUACAGCUAUUCUGCACAAGCAACUUUGCAUGGCCUUAAUGAUGGGAGUCAACAUAUCUGAGUUCCCACUUGGAUUUCCAAAUGGCAAAUUAAUGGAGCUUGGUUUGAUGCCAUUCUGAGAACCAAUGGAAAGCUUGGCUUGAUGACAAGAAAGAAACUAACGUGCUGGUAAGUGGCUGAUCUGGUUGUGAUUUUGGUGAAGAUGGUGGCAUAUUUCAUGGCUCCAUGGCGUGGGUCUUGCAAAUUCGUGAAACUGUAAAUUAAAUUAUUAGCUUCCAAACUUAUUCAGGCACUGUGUUUAUCAAGAUUGAUAGAAUAAGCUGUAGGAAGCAGAGGCAAAAGAAAAUCUGAAAAUUGUUAAUUAGUAAAUCAGUUCUUGUAUCCGGGAGCAAGAUUUAAAAUUGUCUGAACUGGAAUCUGAAAAUCAGAAAAUCAAAGUUGAGCUGGAGGACUUCGAGGACAGAAGCCUCUCACUUGAAGAACAGCAGGCAUUUAUAAGACUUGAAGAGCACAAUCGCCAGUUAAGCAACAGGUUAGCAAUUCUCUGCAAACCGUCGUCACAAUGGUACCGAUUCUGUGGUAUUUAAAUUUCUACUCUGCAAUGGUGGUGAAUCUUAAUGUUGUUAGUUGUAUUGGCUUUCCGAAAUUGGGAUUCGGAUUAGAGGUGAUGCAUAAGCAAUUUCUAUCAAGUGCGUGCUUUAUACUUA